AACCUGGUUGAUCCUGCCAGUAGUCAUAUGCUUGUCUCAAAGACUAAGCCAUGCAUGUCUAAGUAUAAGUAUUAUACAGCGAAACUGCGAAUGGCCCAUUAAAACAGUUAUAAUUUAUUUGAUAAUCGAAUUUACAUGGAUAACCGUGGUAAUUCUAGAGCUAAUACAUGCUGGUAGGCCCGACUUUUUGGAAGGGCGGUAUUUAUUAGAUAACAAACCAAUAUUCCUCUGGUCUAUUGUGGUGAAUCAUAAUAACUGAUCGAAUCGCAAGGUUUUUAACCGCGAUAAGUCAUUCAAGUUUCUGCCCCAUCAGCUUUCGAUGGUAGUGUAUUGGACUACCAUGGCUUUUACGGGUAACGGAGGAUUAGGGUUCGAUUCCGGAGAGGGAGCCUGAGAAACGGCUACCACAUCUA
rnacentral:rRNA from 1 species